rnacentral:lncRNA from 1 species
GAGGCCGAGAAGGAGAUGCCUAAAUUCCUUGCUUAUUAUAUGAAGGUAAAAAUGAAGCUUGAGAAAACGAAUGAGAAACUUGCAAACUUGAGGGGAGGUUACCUAGUUGAAGAAGAUUGAGGAGGCCUUGAAAACACGAAGGCAACAAGAUAUAGUCUGGGAAGGACAAUGUGGCAAAUACUUGGAGCUAGGGCAAAGUUAUAGUCGUAUUGCUUUGUUGUCCUCCGAGCACAAUCAAUUGAAGGACGUGAAGGUAAACUUGGCAGCCAAAGUGAAAGAGGCUGAGACGAGCACCCAGACUCUCUAAGAAGAGGUGACUCAAAUGAAUGAGUGUUGAGAUUGUUGAUAAGGGAAACACUGAUUUAGCUAACCUUAAUCUCACAGUGCUUUAUUCUCUCUGUUUUUUAUGAUGACAACAUAUUAUUAAUAACACAUGUCUU